CCUCCUAUAGCUCAAUUGGCAGAGCGCAAGACUGUAAUUGAAACCUAUCGUUGGCAUAUCUUGAGGUUCCUAGUUCGAUUCUGGGUGGGAGGA
rnacentral:tRNA from 1 species